GCUCCAGUGGCCUUGUGGUUAGAGCAUCCACCUUGGAUGCAGGAGGUCAUGGGUUUGAACCCCAGCUGAGUCA